GUCUAAAAACUAACAAGCUUGGAUCUAGGUCUGACAAAUAUUUAUUUGUAGGGUACCCAAAGAGACUAAGGGGUAUUACUUCUAUCUUGCUGAUGAAUAGAAGGUGUUCAUUAGCAAUAGGACAGUCUUUUUAGAAAAGGAGUUCUUUGGGGAAGAAACUAAUACCUCAAAGAUCGAACUUGAUGAUGUUCGAUCGGUAGAGGAACUGACAUACUCUAAUAAAUUCAUUGAGUUGGACUUAAUUAGAUCAAAUCUAAAAUCUAUUGUAGAAAUAUCUUUAAGG
rnacentral:lncRNA from 1 species